rnacentral:rRNA from 1 species
CGGGGGGAGCAAGCGUUGUUCGGAUUUACUGGGCGUAAAGGGCGCGUAGGCGGCCACCGCAAGUCGACUGUGAAAUCUCCGGGCUUAACCCGGAACGGUCAGCCGAUACUGCGGGGCUAGAGUGCAGAAGGGGCAACUGGAAUUCUCGGUGUAGCGGUGAAAUGCGUAGAUAUCGAGAGGAACACCUGCGGCGAAGGCGGGUUGCUGGGCUGACACUGACGCUGAUGCGCGAAAGCUAGGGGAGCGAACGGGGUUAGAUACCCCGGUAGUCCUAGCCUUAAACGAUGAAUGCUUGGUGUCUGGGGUUCUAUAGUCCCCGGGUGCCGUCGCUAACGCUUUAAGCAUUCCGCCUGGGGAGUACGGUCGCAAGACUG